rnacentral:lncRNA from 1 species
GCAUAUGGAGGUUCCCAGGCUAGGGGUCUAAUCAGAGCUGUAGCCGCCAGCCUACGCCAGAGCCACAGCAACACGGGAUCCGAGCCGCAUCUGCAACCUACACCACAGCUCACGGCAACGUCGGAUCCUUAACCCUCUGAGCAAGGGCAGGAAUCGAAGCCGCAACCUCAAGGUUCCUAGUCGGAUUUGUUAACCACUGCGCCACAACAGGAACUCCACUAAUAAAAAUUCUGAAGAACACUGGUAUCUGUGAGUCUGAUUGUAAAGCUAAGUGUUGUGGCAAUCUGAUUCCUGACCUAGAACAUCUACAGAUCUCCGUUAUUUCACCCCACACACUUUCACUGCAGCAGAGACCUAGAUGAACAAUACUUUCCCUGGAGUUCCUGUCGUGGCUCAGCAGUAACGAACCUGACUAGUAUCCAUGAGGACGCAGGUUCGAUCCCUGGCCUCAUUCAGUGGGUUAAGGAUCCAGCUCUGCCAUGAGCUGUGGUGUAUGUCGCAGACAUGGCUCGGAUCCCAAGUUGCUGUGGCUGUGGUGUAGACUAGCAGCUAUAGUUCCAAUUUGACCCCUAGCCUGGACACUUCCAUAUGCCUAGGCUGCAGCUCUAAAAAAAGACCAACAAAAACAACAACAAAAACCCAAUAUUCUCCCUAAUUUUAUAUGACCUGCAAAAACAAAUAAUGAUUUCUCUAAUUUUAGAUGAGACUGCAGUUGCCAGCUCAGAAAAAUCCUAUUUAAGUCCUAUGGCAAGGAAAAUCCUCCAUCUCUAGCUCAUAGUUUGUGUCCAGGCAGACACUGGAGGACUGCAUCUCUCUCUCUCUGUCAAAAGCAAAGUAGAGGACUGGAAAAAUUAUUGAGCUAGUUCAAGCAAAGCACAUGUCAAAUGACCCAGGUAAUUUCCAAAAGAGCCAAUGUUUUCUCUGAAUUAGAAUACUUGGAGAAUUGCCCCAACCACCUGUAUUGCUUAGGUCAUGGAGCCUGAGACUGUGUUUUCACAACUAAAAUAACCAUGGUUGAAGGCCCAUCUCAAGAACAGAAUUUUGCUGCAUCACUGUGGAUCAAAUUACCUUUAAUACAAUCAGUUGUGGGGAUAGUAAAACACAUUAAUUUGAUUGUCCAGAAGCAAUUUAAUGAUGUUACACAGAUAUGACUAAGAUUACACUUAUCCCCAAUUUCAUUUCAUAAGAUAGCAAAGUGACUAGUCAAUCAACCAGCUGUCUAACCCACAUGAUAAUAACAGCUGGUUUGACAUUUUUAUUUAAUUAAUUGACUGCUAGUUUGAAACUGUUUAGAUGCUCUUAUGAUCUAGGUAUAGGCUAAGAUUUAGCUCUGUUAAUUUUUUUUUCCUUGUCUGGAAUCCAGCAUUAUUCCUCUUCACAAAUCCUGUUUGGGUGACUUCUAAAUAAAGCUAAAUUCCUCCACUGGCUUUCCCUCUAUGGGCUCUUGCCUAUGUCUUUUCUAUUUGAAAAUAAACUCUCUUCUGGCUUACCCUGUGACAGUCUUUGAUACUGAGUCUUUUGAAAGGUGAGUAGCUCCUAACUAUCCAUGAGUAUUCCUUACCUGGAAUCCUGGCCACCCUGAUAUCAUUCACUUCAGAAAAUAAGCACAGAGUAAAUACGACUCCAGAUUUAAAUCCAGGAACUUGAACGAGCACUCUAGACUGGAGUGUCUGGCUUCAUUUCUUGCUGUGAGUCAGGGCCAGCAGGUUCCCAUUAAGGUGUAUAUGAAUUGUAUUAUUCCAUGCAGAAGUUUGUCUAUAACGUAAUGCUGUAAGGCUGCCAAGUUCUUCUAACAAUCUCACGGGCCAAUAUUCAAAACAUAUCAGUAUCUCAUUAGAGCCUUCAUUUGUAAAAAGCUUUACAUUCUACUCAGCAGGCUAUAGUUAACAGAUAUUUUGUUUUAGGGUAAAGUAAAACCCAUUUUAAAUCAGUUUAUUACUUCCAUUGUAUUAGUGCCUCUCAGGUUGUCACAUUCAUCUGGAAUGAGUUGCCACAAAAAGAGGAGAUAAAUGCAGAGAAUUAUGCAUGGAGUGUGCUUUGAUAUAGUUCAAAGUAACAGGAGGGGCAUUUUCAGGGAAAAUUUGUUCUACACCCCCAUGACUAUUCAAAACCAGGGAAAAAAAUCCCUCAAACUAAGCCACUUGGCAGGACAAAAACUGUUCAAAUAAGCUCAUAUCAUGAGGGAAAAAGGCAACAAAUAGUCUCUCUUCAGCUUCAAACCCCUCUCUUUUCCUCUUGCUCCUCUCCUUUAAACGAAUCCCUGAUGAAUUUUAGGCAAAUAUAUUUUGAAAAAGUGCUGAAUCCCAAAAGAUUUAGUAGUUGAAGAAAAGAGUUCCCUGCUAAUCCCCCUCCCACAUCUUCCCCUUAUUCUUCAAAAACUAGUUCUUCAAAUGAUAACUUGUGACGAUGUCCCUCAUCAUUAGGUCAUCUCUCACCCUAGUAGUCACCACCUUCAAAGACAAAUGACCUGGGAAGAGGAUGAAAUGUACUGAGGUUCAAACACUCCCCUGGACUGAUGGUCCCAGCACUAUAGCUGGAAGAUUUCUUUUCUUGUCUUUCUGAACCUGGUGUUCUGUGCUGAAAGGACAAUGAUUAUUUCAUCAGCUCCAGAAAUGAGACAUGAAGGAUGGGAGCUGAGAGAAAGUGGAACCAGGGAAUAUAAUUGUGUGCUUUCUAGGGGGAAAAAAAAAUCAGACGCAUUGAAAAAGAAAUUCUGACAGCAUAAAACAAAGAAUUAACACUUGUCUAUUAAACCUUUAAAGAAUGUAUUAUUGAGGGGACCUUGAGAAUGGAAUCAGAUGUUCUCCACUGUAACUGAAGAAAAUAAAAUAAAAUGGCACUGAAAAGAUAUCAGGGGAAGAAAAAAUUUAUCAACUAAGCAAAGCUCCAUGACUGGAUAUGCAUCAUCUUCUUCCAAUAGGUCUUUAAAACUGAAAUAUUACUAAUAAUAUCCAUAGUUUAUUGGUCUAAUCAGGGAGUGAAUGAAAUUUCUAGCAGAAUCUGUUCAUCAUGUUCCCUCUUCUACCGCUAGUUUUCCAACCCAUUUCAUGAAUUCUGACUACUAAAACAGGUGACAAAUGGGUUUGUAGUUGUGCAUUGGUCCUAUCAAAUAUUGCCAAGUACUGUCUCCUUGUUUUUACAGGCUUAUUUAUUCUACUAGUUUGUAAGCUACUUAAGGACACAAACAACUGUCCUACUCAACUUGGAACAGGUCAGUGUAUCAUUACGUCCUUUAUUUGUAUGAAGCUUUACAUUUUACUAUGUUUUGGUUGACCAUCAAUUGGCUUGUGAUUAGGACUCACAUUAUUUGAAAAAUAUAAACACUAGACUCUCAUUCAGUGUUACGAGAUGUCUCAACCAUGAGAAGCACACAAAAUCUGAUACUGAAUGAAGAAAGAGAAUAUUUGUGUCUCUCAUCCCAUGCUCAGUGCAGUCUAGAUUCUGCCAGGAAAACAGAAGCCAUCCUAGGUGUUUCGGAGAGAAGUGAUUCACCAGGUGUUUUUGGAGAGAAGGGGAUCAGUUACACAGGAUUGGAGGUUUGAAAGAAGGGGAGAGGUUGCUAAGGUAACCCUGGUAUUACUAGCUUGGGAAGCAGCUACCACUCUUAGGGCUGGGAGAAAAAAAGAGCAGAUAUGGUGUUAUCAGAACCUGGAAGCUUGAGGAAAGUGUCUCUAUAGGGCAGAUGCUCAGAGUCCCAAGGUGCCAGUGGUUCUGCGACCUGCGACCUCUGAGGGGGACAUCACAUGACGGUCACUUGGCCUCUGAUUUGAGUUACGACAGUGUAUGGCACAGCUGCUACUGGCAUCUCUGAAAGGGCCACAGUAGAAAUGAUGCUACAAAUGCUGAGAUAAGCUAGAGGUUGGAGUCCUACAUGAAUGCUACCAAUGAAGAGAAGCUGACUAGAACUGAAAACAGGAAGAAUCUUCCUUCUGCUUUCCUAUCAGCCUCUAAUCUCCUACCAAUGCCUCCAGUCAGCAGAACCUAACCAAAGGCCAGGCAGCAAAGAUGCCUGGGGAACACAGUGUGCAUAGUCCCAGCUGCAGUGUCACAGAACAGAAUGUAAAAGCCUAGGCUUAAGGCGGAUGGACAGUAGGAAAAAUUAAUCUGAGGCACAAAUUCACUGAGUGGAAUAACAGAAAGAAUUUUCUUUCUGUUUCUUUUAUCAUAGUUGCAUUCCAAUAAAUUAAAUGUAUGCAUGAUGCAAAUUCACUUUUUCUUAUAAUCCCAUAGUUCAUUAGCCCAACAGCCUGCUUUUAUGAUGUGAUUAAUGUACAUAUUGAAUGGAUAAAUGAGGAUCUUUUUGUCUUUUUAGUUCUGAGGGGAUCUUCUCCAAUUAUUAGUCCUGUUUAACUGUUACUGAAAAAUGAGACUAGAGAAAAUAUACAGGACCUAGGGACCAACUCUGCCAUAGUUCACUGACAUUGCAAAUGUACCUAAUCAAACAGUUCAAAUGGUUUCUAUCCCUGGCUGUAUCUCUAACUUUCCACAUCGCAGUCAAAACUCUCUCCUGUAGCCACAUUUGCACAGUUUCAGAGUGACACCCAGUGGCUUAUAAUUUAAUCACAUAUUAUAUUGCAUCUGGAACUCUUAUCAGUUCUCAAUUAUCAAUGUAAAUAGAAUGAUGCAUAAUAUGUAAAAUAUAUAAAACUGUAAACAGAAAAUGAAACUUAAAACCAUUAGAUUUACUUUGAGAGAUUAUCUCAACCUAGUUGUUGAGAUCUCAUAUUCAAGUUAGCUUGAAAUUUUCCUUUCCCGAGUACAUGCCUGUCACAAUUCUGGUGCUUUCUGCUAAAUGCAUGAGAUGAUGGGUCAAGAAGGAAACUGGCAACAAAAAGGAAUGAGACUGGGAGUUUUAAACAUAGAGCAGUUCUAGACCUGACUCCCAAGGCCAGAAAUUCAAUAUUUUGGGCCCCAAAGGGUAUGGAAAACUUAGUCUAGAUCCAGGCUGAAUUAAUAAAUAAAGGUAUCCAAUAGGGCAAGAGAGUCUGUCUGCACAGGGUUCCAGGCGGAGGCAAUAUUUAGAGUUGCGCAGGCUCUUGGGUUGUGAUUCCAGGGGAAUAGGCCACUCAAGCAGGAGUCCCAGCCAGCAGUUGCUUUAGGGAGCCUGGGAUCAGCAAAAUGUCAGGGCAGCAAGUGCACUGCCUCAGGAUCAGAAUGGUGCUCCUUUCUCAGUGACAUGCUGCAGCAAGCUGAAAGUGAUUUUUAUUUGUGGCUUGGGAAAUCAAUCUCAUUCUGAUAUAGACAGUCUUAAAAAACACAAAAAACAGAAACUCCAUAUAUUCUUUAAAUUCUCCUCUUUCAACAGAAUCAUCAAAGAAACCGAAGUUUCCAUAAUAAAAUCCCACAAAUAAAAUACGAAUAGAAAUCUUCUUAUCUCUGUUUAGAUGGAUCUUAGCCCCCAAAAUACUACCAGCUCAGAAUUCACAGUGAUUUGACUAUGUUCUCCUGCUUGAAGGAAUCUGGUUCAGACAAGCACCUUCCCUAUUUAAUAAUAUUUUCCAGAGGCAAUCCAACAAAAAAGGGUAUUUACUUGUAAAUAUGCAGCUGUGAGUUCAAAGGAAAUCUCAGUGGUAACUCUAGUUAGAAUUAUUCAGACAACUCUUUGAUUCAGCUUAAUUUGGGAGCAAGAAUUCACAGUCAUGAAUAUGAUUCGUACAGAUCAUAAUGUCAGUAUAUCAUAAGAGAUUUGUUGUGGCUUCCUUCCAAGUAAUCACAUCUCAGAGAUAAAGGGGGAUAUGAUAUUUUUGUAUCAUACGGAGUGUAAAAAAAAAAUCUGUUCCCACAAAAUCAGCUUCCCUAUCACAUCAAAGGAUAAGCAAAGUUAGCCUCUCCUAUGGAAACUUUCAUGCAUUUAAAAAAUAUAUAUGGAAACUCAAGGCAGAGCUAUGAAAAUUCAUAGAUGCUUACAACCUCAAAAUGGUCUUCUCCUCAGUGAGAAUGCACUGUCAUGAUGACAAAGAGGAUAAUAACGAUCUUGCUUUUAUCAGGAUACUUUCUCAUUCCCGUUGAAAAUGGGAACCCUCAGCAAUCAAACGGAAAUAAAGCAAGUGCAGUCUCAUCAUGAUAACAUUUUAAUUAUCAGAGAAAAGGACCAUGUCUGAAACUUAAACAGAAAACUAAGAGAUGCACAUCUUUUACCUUUUUCAAUUAAUCUGGCCUAACAACGGCUCAUUGGCCAAGAGAGUAGUAGAUAUUUCAAUGUAGAUAGAAACUUAUUUAUUCGUGUUUUUUUGUCUAGUGUUUUUUUUUUUCAAAAAUGCCUUUUUUAGAACAUUAGAUGUUAACAGGAAACAGACUGUGUGUCUCAAAUCUAAUAAUCAAUAAAUGGAAGAAUGUUCAAUUAUUCCCCCUAGUUUAUUGUCCACAGCAAGUCUGCC